UACGGGUAGUGCUAGUGUUAUUCCUCUUGAUUGGGCGUAAAGGGUGUGUAGGCGGUAUAAUAAGUUAGAAAUGAAAGACUAUGCUUAUCAAUUGUAAAUUUCUAAAACUAUUAUACUAGAGUAAUAUGAAAGAUAGCGGAACCUUUAACAUCAGAGUUGAAAUGCGUAUACAUUAAAGGGAACCCCGAAGGCGAAAGCAGCUAUCUAUUUAUUUCUGACGCUGAGGCACGAAGGCAUGGGGAUCAAAUAGGAUUAG
rnacentral:rRNA from 1 species